UACGAAGGGGGCGAGCGUUUGUUCGGAUUUACUGGGCGUAAAGGGCGCGCAGGCGGCGACAUUUGUCAGGCGUGAAAGCCCCGGGCUUAACCUGGGAACUGCGUUUGAUACGGUGUGGCUAGAGUUCGGGAGAGGAGAGUGGAAUUCCCAGUGUAGAGGUGAAAUUCGUAGAUAUCAGGAGGAACACCGGUGGCGAAGGCGGCUUUCUGGACAGAUACCGACGCUGAGGCACGAAAGCUAGGGGAGCAAACAGG
rnacentral:rRNA from 1 species